rnacentral:misc_RNA from 1 species
GUUUACAAGUUAAUGACAUUUAAAAUGCUAUCCUUAAUCAGAGAAAGACUGGGUUUUGGUAGUCUCUGACUCUGCCAUACAAGCAGCAACUAAUCAAAGGACCUUGAAAUUUGAGGGACAAAUACAUUCAUCUGGGUCCUCCUAUUGAAUGAAGUUACAUAUGCGAACAAAUUCAGCACCUUUAUACAAGUUGCCAAAGGAUUAAGGAGUACUAGAGUGCAAAGUCGAGGAAAAUAUGCAUAAACGGUUGGGUUUUAGGCUGUAAAUUUUGAAACAAUAAAGAGAAAAAGAC